UUUCCAACUUUCAGCCGUGAAUGACGAACACUCCAUGCUUUUCUCCUCCUUUUGUCCUGACUCACCUCUCCUCAGGGAUUUCUUCAUUCACAGACACAAACUCCAUUCCCUCCUGCGUGCUGGUGAUCCAUGAUCCUGCCAAACUGAAACCCGGGUGUACUCAGAGGCAGGACAGAGUGAAAGCUGAAGCUUCCAGGUUAUUGUUGUGUUUUAACUCUGAGAUCUCAGGAGACAAUUUUAUCACAAUAGUGCAUGCAUUCUUAUAUAGAACCCAUCCUGGGAAAGAGAAGGUUGACCAAGAAUUAUGGACUCUUGGUUUUAAAUGUCAAGCCUGAAGAACAGUGAGAUCAAAGCCCUCUUGGGGGUUUUUACUGGCUUCCUGAGGUCUUAAUAACAGGCAGGCUGAAUGAAGAAAGCAACUCCUGUGGGGUGUAUUACCAGCAGUCUGGGCAAUGGAGCCACAUGGCAGGUGGGGAAGCCACAGUCUCCUGAGUGCAUGUCCAGGCCCAGGACUCAUGUCUCCUGCAGCCACAGCAUCCCCAUCACCUGAAGGUCAUCCCUCAUCCAGAAAGCUCACAGCCUCAGCUGAAGCCAGGUGGGAGCGUGCUGGGCACGGGGAGCCAGCUGAGGAUGAGGAGGCAAAGAAGAGUGAAGAGGCUCAGCAGGAAAAGCACUCUGUGCAGUGAAGGUUACUCCUGCCUUAAUCAGCCUGUUUGCAUUGCAUCAUGCAGGAGAGGUAUGGGCUGUGCAUUUGAGGAAGUGGCUUUUAGCUGAAUGGAAUAAAAGGGAACACAAAACGUUCUGUGUUCA
rnacentral:lncRNA from 1 species